rnacentral:rRNA from 1 species
UAUUCGAAGGGAUAGGGUCGGUUCGGCCGGAUUUCACACAAGUGUUGCAUGGCUGUCGUCAGCUCGUGUCGUGAGAUGUUGGGUUAAGUCCCGCAACGAGCGCAACCCUCAUCCUUAGUUGCUAUCAGGUAAUGCUGAGUACUUUAAGGAAACUGCCAGUGAUAAGCUGGAGGAAGGUGGGGAUGAUGUCAAGUCAUCAUGGCCUUUAUGGAGUGGGCUACACACGUGCUACAAUGGUGUCUACAAUGGGUUGCAAGGUGCGCAAGCCUAAGCUAAUCCCUAAAAGACAUCUCAGUUCGGAUUGUACUCUGCAACUCGAGUACAUGAAGUUGGAAUCGCUAGUAAUCGUGGAUCAGCAUGCCACGGUGAAUACGUUCUCGGGUCUUGUACACACUGCCCGUCACGCCAUGGGAAUUG